rnacentral:rRNA from 1 species
GCUUAAAGAGGGUGUAGGCGGAGCAGCAAGUACUUUGUGAAAGCCCCGGGCUCAACCCGGGAAUUGCUUGGUAUACUGUUGCUCUUGAGGCAGGUAGGGGUCACUGGAACCUUAGGUGGAGCGGUGAAAUGCGUAGAUAUCUAAGGGAACGCCUGUGGCGAAAGCGGGUGACUGGGCCUGUCCUGACGCUGAGACCCGAAAGCGUAGGGAGUAAACAGGAUUAGAUACCCUGGUAGUCUACGCCGUAAACGAUGCGCACUAGGUUCGAGAGCUACUGACGGCCCUCGUGCCGAAGCAAAAGUACUAAGUGCGCCGCCUGGGGAGUACGGCCGCAAGGCUAAAACUCAAAGGAAUUGACGGGGGCUCACACAAGCGGUGGAGCAUGUGGAUCAAUUCGAAGCAACGCGAAGAACCUUACCUGGGUUUGACAUGCACGGAUGCCCUUCUGGAAACAGGAGUAAGCUGCCUUCGGGUGAAACGUGCACAGGUGCUGCAUGGCUGUCGUCAGCUCGUGCUGUGAAGUGUCGGGUUAAGUCCCUUAACGAGCGAAACCCUUGUCGCUAGUUGCCAGCGGGUCAUGCCGGGAACUCUAGCGAGACUGCCGGCGUUAAGCCGGAGGAAGGUGGGGAUGACGUCAAGUCAUCAUGGCCUUUAUGCCCAGGGUGUCACACGUGCUACAAUGGGGCGUACAGAGCGACGCAAGACCGUGAGGUGGAGCAAAUCGCAGAAAGCGUCCCUCAGUUCGGAUCGGGGUCUGCAACUCGACCCCGUGAAGCUGGAAUCGCUAGUAAUCGCGUAUCAGCCAUGACGCGGUGAAUAUGUUCCUGAGCCUUGUACA